UUAAUACUCCCUCCGUCCGAAAAUACUUGUCAUCUAAAUGGAUAAAAAAAGGGUGUAUCUACAACUAAAAUACGUCUAGAUACAUCUUCGUUUAUCCAUUUUGAUGACAAGUAUUUUCGGACGGAGGGAGUACCAU
rfam:Triticum aestivum genome assembly, contig: Triticum_aestivum_CS42_TGACv1_scaffold_577676_7BL